CCCAGUUUCUCCUGCACCCAGCAGUCUACCUCCAGAAGACAGACUCCACCAGCCAGCAUGGCUGCAGGUGGCUUCCUGUAAAUCAGCCCCAGUCCUUUGGUACCCAACUGGCAGCUCCCUGCUGUCCAGUGAGUUUCUCAGUCACUUAGCAAGCUGUUCCUGCAGACCAUCUGGGCCCAAAUUCUCUGGCAGAUUUCUCCAACACUGACAGCACCUACAGUUGUCACCUAUGGAGUGCCUCUCUGUGCCGAAGGGCUCCACACAACCAUGGAAUGAGGCAUAUAUGAUUAUACCCAUUUUACAGAUGGGGAACUGAAGCUCACAAAGAAGUCAAGAAGCAGGCACGGUGGUGCAGGCCUGUGAUCCCAGCAACUCAAGAGGCUGAGGCUCCACUGUUGAAAGUCUUAGAGAUGAGCUCUGUUUCGCUGCCUUUCCAACCUCUUCUUUUAAACAGGAAAAAAUAUAUUCCAAAGAUGCUCGAGAGGGAAGGCGAGUCCUAAGAGCUAGCAGGACCUGUGUGGGAUGCCUCACCAGUGAAAAGCGACCAGCAGGCUCAGCACGCUGAGCACCAGGAAGCGAGAGCUAGAAAUUUAAGGCCUCAGAAAUCCCAGGAUCUCCGCCGAGGGGAGAGAUCCAGAGCUCCUGCACCCAGCAUGCCAGAUGGACAGACUGAAAGCUGGGGUGUCUGGGUCAAACUUGGAAUGUCAUCGACAUCCCUAUGUGGGUCUCUAGCGGACAUGCUAAUAAAUCAGGUUAUUCACAUAAGAAUAAGUUUAUCCACAACAAUUGUCCAUCUUGACCAAUAUUGGAGAAAUAAGAAAAGAAAAAGAAUCUUGCCCAGAAUGAUCUUUUCUGUCACUAUGCUGACCAUAGCAAGUUUCAGCCCUAAGACUCUGGGCACAGGAUUUCAAUGUCUUCCUUGUCUUUUCAAAGAGGGACAAAACAUACAAGCAGAGAUCCAUUGAAAACUGUGGAUCUUCGUGUUUCUCCUGGACGUUUGGACAUAAAUUACAGCACAGUUCAGUCUUUAAUGUCAUUUCAAUCAUUUGUUUCACCUCCAACUCUGAAAUGUCAAAAGGCCAACUGGUCAGGGAGUGGUGGGCCUCACUUCUCCUUCCCACCCUCCAGCCUCAGAGGCCAGGGUCUCCACAAACCGCAUUGUUGGAAGCAGGAUGCAUGGGUCGAGAAGGAGAAAAUCAGGGGGUCUGCGGAAUUCCUCCUUACAACAUUGGGCCCUGGAUGCCUUUUGAAUGCAGGUGCAGAGGAAAUGGUCUUUAAAUGAUGACAAAUUACUAGGUACAUGGUUAAAAUGAAGCCAGCCAACCUCGAAUGUUCAGAUCUUGAUCCCAGCUCAAUCUGGGGCUUCAGCUGAGUUCUUUAAAGAGGAAAAGAGAGCAUCAUUUCCGUCCUGCCACGGGAGGACUGUCCCUCUGCCUGUGCUUGCUAUCUCUCAUGCUCUCUGGCAGCCAGAACCUGUCCCUUCAGGCUGAGCCCAAGUCUCCUCUGACUGCAGAGUGCUCACUGCAGCUCUAGAGUCAGAUAAAAGCCCAUCUGCAGCCCCCUCUGCAGAUUCCUGAGGUGAAGCAAAUUACUUAACCUCCCCAAGCCUGUGUUUCCUCACUUGCUAAAUGGGACUAUGAAUACCAACCUCUUCAGGGUGUUAUGAGGAUUCCAUGAAAUAAA